rnacentral:rRNA from 1 species
CCAAUAGCGUAUAUUAAAGUUGCUGCAGUUAAAAAGCUCGUAGUUGAAUUUCGGGACCAAUAUGUCGGUCGUGCUUCGGUACGUACUGUCAUAAUUGGUUUCUCCCUUCUGAAGAACCUUGAUGUCAUUAAUUUGGUGUCUUGGGGAAUCAGGACUGUUACUUUGAAAAAAUUAGAGUGUUUAAAGCAGGCUCGCGCUUGAAUACAUUAGCAUGGAAUAAUGAAAUAGGACGUUUGAUUCUAUUUUGUUGGUUUCUAGGAUCGACGUAAUGAUUAAUAGGGAUAGUUGGGGGCAUUAGUAUUCAAUUGUCAGAGGUGAAAUUCUUGGAUUUAUUGAAGACUAACUACUGCGAAAGCAUUUGCCAAGGAUGUUUUCAUUGAUCAAGAACGAAAGUUAGGGGAUCGAAGACGAUCAGAUACCGUCGUAGUCUUAACCAUAAACUAUGCCGACUAGGGAUCGGAUGAUGUUAAUUUUUUAAUGACUCAUUCGGCGCCUUACG